UAGUCCACGCCGUAAACGAUGGUCACUAGCUGUUCGCAUUUCGGUCUGAGUGGCUAAGCGAAAGUUUUAAGUAAUCCACCUGGGGAGUACGAUCGCAAGAUUGAAACUCAAAGGAAUUGACGGGGGCCCGCACAAGCGGAGGAACAUGUGGUUUAAUUCGAUGAUACGCGAGGAACCUUACCUGGACUUAAAUGUAGAUUGCAUAGCUUAGAGAUAGGCUCUUCUUCGGACUAUUUACAAGGUGCUGCAUGGUUGUCGUCAGCUCGUGCCGUGAGGUGUCGGGUUAAGUCCCAUAACGAGCGCAACCCCUAUCCUUAGUUGCCAGCGGGUCAUGCCGGGGACUCUGAGGAGACUACCACCGUAAGGUGUGAGGAAGGUGGGGAUGACGUCAAAUCAGCACGGCCCUUAUGUCCAGGGCUACACACGUGUUACAAUGGACGGUACAAAGGGCAGCUACCUGGCGACAGGAUGGCUAAUCUCUAAAGCCGUUCUCAGUUCGGA
rnacentral:rRNA from 1 species